AUGUAUGCUUAUGAUGCUUUUGUUUAUGAAAUUUUAUUAAGGCAGGCACCUCUUGAGGACAACGUCGGCCCACGGUACCCCAUGGUUGACUACACAUUCGACAAGGGUCAUCGUGCCCGUUUCAUAAAGAACGGAGUGAUGCUCCCGCCACUGCGCAUGAGGGGUCACGGGGUUGCCGCGAAUAUGGACUACGAUGAGCGCUACGCGCCGUACUUCAAGAGAGCUCGACUAUUGGGUUUCAUGUUGCAGUUCAAGCCUCAGGAACCGACGCUUGUCCAUGCAGCUCUGACAGCUUUGAUUGACCGGUGA
rnacentral:rRNA from 1 species